GUAAACCUUUUUAAUGCAGCAACAAUAUAUGUGUAUAUAUAUAUAUAUAUAUAUAUUUAAUUGAAUAGAUCGGCCCCGUUGUCACCAAUACCCGAUCCAUACCCGAUCUGGUAUCGGUAUCGAUGCAUCCUAAGUGAGAAUAAGUAGUUAAACAACUAAAUUUUUCUUAAGAGCUUGAACAAUGAUGGACAUUUUUGUUUUCAGAUAUAAAUGUAUCUAUUGGCUCCUUUUUUUAUUCUCUUCAACGAAAUAUCCAUCAAACAUUUUAUCGUCUCUUAUAAUACAUUUUUUAAACACGGAGGAUGACAUAAAAUUCAUAAUGAUAAAUAUAAGAUUAAAAAAGCACUGAUUUCAAAAUACUAUACAUCAACCACAUAUAUUUUUUCUAUAUUUCCAAUCAGUCAUUUAAAUGAAAUAAAGGAAAAGAAAAGGACAACAACACUCCUGUAUCUAUACCUACCACGUACAGUAAAAAAAAAAGGUUUACUUCUGUCGGUGUAGAGUAGUGAAUAAAAAUGUUUCCAGCGUUGGCUCCUUUUUUUAAUCAUCCUGAGCUCAAACUUAUAGCUACUAAUUCUAACAUCCGCCCACAAAUCUUAAAACUAAAUGCACAAAAUUUUGAAUAAAAACAUACUAACAUACUGUGUCUAUAAACAAGUCUACACAGAGAUAACUCUUGGAAAUAAAAUGACCAUUGGACCAAACUUCCACCAGGCCUGUAGAGUCCUUUUAACGUAUGAGAAAGUUUUACACAGUGAGUUCUCAUGUAAGGGGACUUUUAGCAGAUAUGUAGGGAAUAAAAUAAGCUGUGUUCAGUGGAGAAAGCAACUUAUUUGUAAAUGUUACAUAACAGUUUGUCAUAUCCUGAAAUCAGAUUUCAUUCAACAACAAAAAGGAUUCAUUUAAAACUGGCGUCAAAUUGUAGAUAUUUAUUAACUGGUGUUCCUCGGAUGCCCGGCCCUGCCGUUGUACCAAUACUUGACAUGAUUGUAAAAAAAACUUUUUUUCUAUUUCUUCGCAGUGCCCUUUAGUCAUUAGUGUUGAAACACUGUCGUGGGGAUUCUGUCAGUGUCAUAUUUGUUAUGGUACUUUAAAACUAGUGAAAUCUUUCGAGGAGUGUCGUGAUGCGUUUGCUGUCCGCUGCUUUGCUUUCCCACUGCCACUAAAACAGCCAAAGCUGCAUUUAAGUGAAUGGGAGAGGCUGUAAUGAUAUGUGAGUGUGAGUGUGUGUGUGUGUGUGUGUGUGUGUGUGUGUGUGUGUGUGUGUGUGUGUGUGUGUGUGUGUGUGUGUGUGUGUGUGUGUGUGUGUGUGUGUGUGUGUGUGUGUGUGUGUGUGUGUGUGUGUGUGUGUGUGUGUGUGUGUGUGUUUGAGAUGAUUUCACGAGUCUGCGUGUCCGUCUGUGUGGUGGUGAAACAAAUCAACGUCUAAAAACGUGUUUAAUGUUGUGAUAACAGGGCAGUUCAAGUUUUGACUGCAGUACAACUGUUGUACUCUGUUGUACUCAUGAGUUACAGCCAUAGAUAUAGAAUAUAGGAGUAGAACGGACAUUCCCAUUCAAAUCAACGUAACAGGAUGGUCAGAGUGGCAGCGAUCUUUAUGUGUGCCAUUGCGACCGUUAUAGCGGGCGAACUUCUGUAUAAACUAAACUCACAAGGACAAGGACAAGCUACCCAGCUAAUUAGCUAGCCAUCUAUCUCUGGAGCUACGUCCGCUCACUUCCCAGCGAGCUGCGACUAAACUUUACGUCCCCACUGAUGUCUGUCACCAUAACAACUAACUAACAACAAUCGCCAUUUCCUUUUGUCCUGCUCAAAUGACCACAGAAAACAGUCCAAUGUCCGUUCUCCUCUUAUUCUAUUUCUGUGGUUACAGCAUUAACACGAUGAACAAGCACAGUCCAUUUAAAACUGAUUGUUUCUAAGUCUAGCUUUAGGUUUGUGGACCGUUUUCGCCGGUUUGUAACAAAAGUGUUCAUUGAAACGAGUACAUUGACAUGACGAACAUAUGUGUGUAUAUUUGGUAACACUUUACAGCUGCCUUUUUACAGAGUAUUAACGCAGUGAAAUGUAUUUAUAACAAAAGAAAAAUCUUAGAAAUUCCAUGUUAGUUGAAAUAAAUUUGUAUUUUGACAGGUCUAAAAACAUCAUCAUUACAUUUAAGAUGAAAUAAAUGGAGAUUUCCAAUAAACUGAAGUGAUUACUUGUCAAAAGGCGAAUGUAAAGUGUUAACCUCUUACUUUAAAACCAUAACAUUUGUAUCAUAUAAAUUGUAAUAUAUGAAGAAAGUAGCCGGUUUUGGCUGUAUAGUGUAUUUCAGCUGCAGCAGUUUUUAUUAGCCUUUAUAACUUGAUGACAUGAUCCCGCGUUUGUUUUUAUUCUGUGUAAACCCAUUUUACUGCUUCAUGAUGGAUGAUGAUAGUUCAUCUGUCAAAGGCUUUACAUUCACAUAAAACUGAGUUCAUUUUGUCAUUUAUACCAGGGAAGGUGAAUGUAAUCCAAAUGUGUUUAGAAGAGACCAUCGAUGUGUGUUUCUCGGAGUUAUCCCUGGUUUAACUGACAAAACAUUUUAUUUGUGUGAAGGAAAUUUAAAAGCUGUGUGUUUGUGUGUGCGUGUGUGAAUGUUUGAUCUCUAGUUUAUCCAAUACUGUUUUCUUCCUCGCGGAGAGUUUAAACAAGUUUCACUGCACUCAACUUCAUUUUUUUACCAACACUGAGCCACUCUGCUGCCACGUUCAUAAUAAUGUUAACAAUGUUCUCUUUCUCUCAAUCACAAUGAAACCACGUCACAUCGUCACUGAGCAUCUGCCAUCUCAGAUCCACCGUCGUGAAGCCUUGUUAAACUGUGGCUCCUUGGUGUUAACAGUGUUUUGUGUGGUUGAUGUAGAACAACAAACACCACAGCUCAGUUCUCAGAAGAAGAAGAAAAAAAUAAAACUGUUGGAUCGACUUGACAGCAGUUCCGUGGGUUAAAGCUGUGUAAUAAAGGAACAAGCGUCUGCUUGUGAAAUCAAAAUAAACCAUUUGUGCUGUUUGAACGUU